rnacentral:tRNA from 2 species
GCGGGAAUAGCUCAGUUGGUAGAGCAUAACCUUGCCAAGGUUAGGGUCGCGAGUUCGAAUCUCGUUUCCCGCUCCA